GCGCAAUUUAAUAAGGGCGUACGGUGAAUGCCUUGACACCAAAAGACGAUGAAGGACGUAGUAGUCUGCGAUAAGCCCCGGGAAGGUGACAAACAACCGUUGAUCCGAGGAUUUCCGAAUGGGGGAACCCUGCCGAUGUAAUGAUCGGCAAUCAUCCACUGAAUACAUAGGUGUAUGAAGAAGACCUAGCGAAGUGAAACAUCUCAGUAGCUAGAGGAAAAGAAAACACAUGAUGCUUCUUUUACCUUCCUUAUCUUAGAACUCCUUUCGAGGAGGACGAGAUAAGGAAGUGAGAGAAGCUGUGAUUCCCUAAGUAGUGGCGAGCGAAAGGGGAACAGCCUAAAUCUAUAGCAUGAAAUCUUUCGUAAGAAGAGUCCUUGUGACUUUUUAGACGAUUGAUGAAAGGACAGGCCGUUGUGCUAUAGACGUUAUAGGAUACAGAGUCGACUACCUGCGAUGUCGGCCAAGAUGAUUAUAUAUAGUCGAAGACUCCUGGAAAGGAACUCCAAAGAGGGUGAUAGUCCCGUAGACGAAAUAUAUUUUCAUACUGGUUUUGUAUUCCUGAGUACGGCGGAACACGAGAAAUUCCGUCGGAAUUAGCCGCGACUAUGCGGUAAGGCUAAAUACUUUUGGUGAUCGAUAGUGAACUAGUACCACGAGGGAAAGGUGAAAAGUAGCCCGGAAGGGCGGUGAAAUAGAUCCUGAAACCGUACGCUUACAAUGAGUUGGAGCCCUCGUAAUUUAUUACGGUGGGUGACAGCGUUCCUAUUGAAGAAUGAGCCUGCGAGUUAUUUUAUGUGGCAAGCUUAAAGACUUUUGGUCUGAAGGCGUAGGGAAACCGAGUCUGAAUAGGGCGAAAUUAGUCGCAUGAAGUAGACCCGAAACCGGGCGGGCAAUCCAUGGCCAGGUUGAACUCUGAGUAAAAUCAGAGGGAGGACCGAACCGACGAGCUGUGCAACACUCGCGGAUGAGCUGUGGAUAGCGGAGAAAUUCUUAUCGAGCUCGGUAAUAGCUGGUUCUCCUCGAAAUAGCUUUAGGGCUAGCUGUAUGUGUUCCCUCUGGGGGUAGAGCACUGGAUGAGACUUGGGCGCUUCGGCGUACCGGUUUCAAUCAAACUCCGAAUACCAGAGGUUAAAAACAUGCAAGUCAGACUGUGGGGGCUAAGCUUCACAGUCAAAAGGGAAACAGCCCAGAUCGCCAAUUAAGGUCCCUAAAUUGAUACUAAGUGUAAAAGGCGGUGAAGAUUCACAUACAACCAGGAGGUUGGCUUAGAAGCAGCCAUCCUUUAAAGAUAGCGUAAUAGCUCACUGGUCAAGAGUCUUUGCGCCGAAAAUGUACCGGGGCUAAGUAUCAUACCGAAAUUGCGGACUAGACGGCGAUUCGUCGCUGUCUAUUGGUAGAGGAGCAUUCCUAUCUGCAGUGAAGCCCAUGAUGGGAGUCAGGGUGGAGCGAUGGGAAGCGAGAAUGCAGGCACAAGUAGCACAUACGCGGGUGAGAGUCCCGCGCGCCGAAAAUCCAAGGUUUCCAGGGCCACGAGAAUCGUCCCUGGGUUAGUCGAUCCCUAAGGUGAGGCCGAAAGGCGUAGCUGAUGGACCUGCGGGUUAAUAUUCCCGCACUUGGUAUAAUUUGUACUUAUGUGCGCAUUUCAAAUGUAUACGCGUUGUAUGGCUACACGUCCCGCAAGGGUGAGAUCGUGUCCUCGGACACGGUCAAGGUAUGCAAGAGAGGUGCCCAGAAAAGCAUAGGUGCGUUAGGUUAUAUCAAAUCGUACCGUAAACCGACACAGGUGGAUAGGUCGAGUAGACCAAGGCGAACGAGAGAAACAUAGUCAAGGAACUCGGCAAAACAGCGGCCGUAACUUCGGGAUAAGGCCUUCCCUUCGCAAGAAGGGAUCAACAAAAGACUCCAUGCAACUGUUUACCAAAAACACAGCUCCCUGCUAAAGCGCAAGCUGACGUAUAGGGGGCGAUGCCUGGCCAGUGUCAGAACGUUAAAGGGAGAGGUGAAACCUUCGGGUGUAGCUUUGAACUGAAGCGCUGAUGAACGCCGGCGGUAACUAUAACCGUCCUAAGGUAGCGAAAUUCCUUGUCGGGUGAGUUCCGACCCGCACGAAUGGCAUAAUGA
rnacentral:rRNA from 1 species